GAUUGAAUGGCUGAAGUUUAGGCGGUAAAUUGUAAAUUUAUAUAUAAGAAAUUUUCUUUUCAAUC
rnacentral:tRNA from 1 species